GUUGGGAGCUCUACCAUAUGGUCGACCUGCAGGCGGCCGCGAAUUCACUAGUGAUUAGAGUUUGAUCAUGGCUCAGAACGAACGCUGGCGGCAUGCCUAACACAUGCAAGUCGAACGAAGGCUUCGGCCUUAGUGGCGCACGGGUGCGUAACGCGUGGGAAUCUGCCCCUUGGUUCGGAAUAACAGUUAGAAAUGACUGCUAAUACCGGAUGAUAUCGCGAGAUCAAAGAUUUAUCGCCUGAGGAUGAGCCCGCGUAGGAUUAGCUAGUUGGUGUGGUAAAGGCGCACCAAGGCGACGAUCCUUAGCUGGUCUGAGAGGAUGAUUAGCCACACUGGGACUGAGACACGGCCCAGACUCCUACGGGAGGCAGCAGUGGGGAAUAUUGGACAAUGGGCGAAAGCCUGAUCCAGCAAUGCCGCGUGAGUGAUGAAGGCCUUAGGGCUGUAAAGCUCUUUUACCCGGGAUGAUAAUGACAGUACCGGGAGAAU
rnacentral:rRNA from 1 species